UACGUAGGGGGCGAGCGUUGUCCGGAAUCAUUGGGCGUAAAGCGCGUGUAGGCGGCUUGAUAAGUCUGGUGUGAAAUCUUGGGGCUCAACCCCAAGCCUGCACUGGAUACUGUCAAGCUUGAGUCCGGGAGGGGAGAGCGGAAUUCCUAGUGUAGCGGUGAAAUGCGUAGAUAUCUGGAGGAACACCGGUGGCGAAGGCGGCAUCCUGGACCGACACUGACACUGAGGAGCGAAAGCCAGGGGAGCAAACGGG
rnacentral:rRNA from 1 species